rnacentral:sRNA from 1 species
GCGUGCGCCACGUCCGCACGACCUUCCCCGAAUAGAGGAGGGCCGGUCUUCAGUCAAGGGUAUACCAGUAGCUGCGCUCCCCUGCUAGAACCUCCAAACAAAAGUUUUGUAACUUUCCGAGAAGUAGUGACUGGCAUCCGUGUGUGCUUGGAAGUUAGUCAUUGGUAACCACGACACGUCUUUUCUCUGUAUCACAAACUGUGACAAA